AAAUUGAAGAGUUUGAUCAUGGCUCAGAUUGAACGCUGGCGGCAGGCCUAACACAUGCAAGUCGAACGGUAACAGGAAACAGCUUGCUGUUUCGAUGACGAGUGGCGGACGGGUGAGUAAUGUCUGGGAAACUGCCUGAUGGAGGGGGAUAACUACUGGAAACGGUAGCUAAUACCGCAUAACGUCGCAAGACCAAAGAGGGGGACCUUCGGGCCUCUUGCCAUCGGAUGUGCCCAGAUGGGAUUAGCUAGUAGGUGGGGUAACGGCUCACCUAGGCGACGAUCCCUAGCUGGUCUGAGAGGAUGACCAGCCACACUGGAACUG
rnacentral:rRNA from 1 species